rnacentral:rRNA from 1 species
UACGAAGGGGGCUAGCGUUGUUCGGAAUUACUGGGCGUAAAGCGCACGUAGGCGGAUACUUAAGUUAGGGGUGAAAUCCCAAGGCUCAACCUUGGAACUGCCUUUAAUACUGGGUAUCUCGAGUCCGGAAGAGGUGAGUGGAAUUCCGAGUGUAGAGGUGAAAUUCGUAGAUAUUCGGAGGAACACCAGUGGCGAAGGCGGCUCACUGGUCCGGUACUGACGCUGAGGUGCGAAAGCGUGGGGAGCAAACAGG